UACGUAGGUGGCAAGCGUUGUCCGGAUUUAUUGGGUUUAAAGGGUGCGUAGGCGGCUUUGUAAGUCAGUGGUGAAAUAUGGCAGCUUAACUGUCAGGGUGCCAUUGAUACUGCGGAGCUUGAGUACAGAUGAGGUAGGCGGAAUUGACGGUGUAGCGGUGAAAUGCGUAGAUAUUGGGAGGAACACCGGUGGCGAAGGCGGCCCCCUGGACCGGUACUGACGCUGAGGCGCGAAAGCGUGGGUAGCAAACGGG
rnacentral:rRNA from 1 species